rnacentral:rRNA from 1 species
AAACCGCUCAGAGGUAAACGGGUGGAUCCGCAAAGUCGACCCGCGGAAUUCAGCGCGGCGCGCAGACCUGGGCUGCUGUGGUUUGGGAUCUCUCGGACCCGACCACGGUGUCGACCGGGUCUCCGCCGCGUGCACUUUCCGCGGGCAGGAUGCCACAACCGGUUCGGUGGCGGCUACAAGCUUUGGAGAUUGUAGGUCGGGGCGCUUGCGUCCUACCAGCCUUCAUUGUCGAGCCGCCCUCCGGACCGAGAGACCGCCGCGCGCUUCGAGGCCACCCUCUCCUCCUCAUGAGUAUGACUGGGAGAGACUGGGCAACCGUGUCUCCCGACUGCUGAUCUGUGAUCGGCGUGGGUCUGGCCGGGCGCGCACCGUCAGGGUUAGUGGCGAAUCUGUCGGCAUUCCACCCGACCCGUCUUGAA